rnacentral:rRNA from 1 species
CGCUAGCGGCAGGCCUUACACAUGCAAGUCGAGGGGUAGAAUGUCUUCGGAUAUUUGAGACCGGCGCACGGGUGCGUAACACGUAUGCAACCUGCCUUUUACUGGGGAAUAGCCCGAAGAAAUUCGGAUUAAUGCCCCAUAUGCUCGCACAAUCGCAUGAUUGAGCGAGGAAAGCUCCGGCGGUAAAAGAUGGGCAUGCGUCCUAUUAGCUUGUUGGUGAGGUAAUGGCUCACCAAGGCAACGAUAGGUAGGGGACCUGAGAGGGUGACCCCCCACACUGGUACUGAGACACGGACCAGACUCCUACGGGAGGCAGCAGUGAGGAAUAUUGGGCAAUGGAGGAAACUCUGACCCAGCCAUGCCGCGUGCAGGAAGACGGCCCUCUGGGUUGUAAACUGCUUUUAUAUGGGAAUAAACCCUUCCACGUGGGAAGGCUGAAGGUACCAUAAGAAUAAGGAUCGGC